UACGUAGGGGGCAAGCGUUGUCCGGAAUCAUUGGGCGUAAAGCGCGCGUAGGCGGCCCGGUAAGUCCGCUCUGAAAGUCCAGGGCUCAACCCUGGAAAGCGGGUGGAUACUGCCGGGCUAGAAUCCGGAAGAGGCGAGUGGAAUUCCCGGUGUAGCGGUGAAAUGCGCAGAUAUCGGGAGGAACACCUAUGGCGAAGGCAGCUCGCUGGGACGUUACUGACGCUGAGACGCGAAAGCGUGGGGAGCAAACAGG
rnacentral:rRNA from 1 species